GAUGAAGAACGCAGCGAAAUGCGAUAAGUAAUGUGAAUUGCAAAAUUCAGUGAAUCAUCGAAUCUUUGAACGCAUCUUGCGCUCCUUGGUAUUCUGAGGAGCAUGCCUGUUUGAGUGUCAUUAAAUUCUCAACUACACUGACUUUGAAUUGGUGUGGCUUGGAUUUGGGGGGAAAAUUGUUGUGGGCUUUUUGUAUAGUCUGCUCCCCUGAAAUUGAUUAGCGGUACCUUUGUGGAACUGUCUACAGGUGUGAUAAUUAUCUACAUCUUAGACAUCUGCUGGAAUGCUGCUUUCUAAACCUUACUUGUAUUGACAAUCUUGACCUCAAAUCAGGUAGGACUACCCGCUGAACUUAAGCAUAUCAAUAAGCGGAGGA
rnacentral:misc_RNA from 1 species